rnacentral:ncRNA from 1 species
ACCACAGGGGUGCUGGCACAAGUCGGCUGAGAUUGAAUUAUUGUAUUCAAAACCCUUAACCUGAUACGGAUAAUGCCGUCGUAGGGAGCACAAUAUUUU